UUGGAGGGCAAGUCUGGUGCCAGCAGCCGCGGUAAUUCCAGCUCCAAUAGCGUAUAUUAAAGUUGUUGCAGUUAAAAAGCUCGUAGUUGAAUUUCGGGGUUCUACCGUUGGUCGGGCUAACCAGUCUGUACUAGCGUGUAGAAUUCCUACCUUCUGGGGAACCAUCAUGUUAUUAAUUUAGCGUGGUGGGAAACCAGGACCUUUACCUGAAAAAUUAGAGUGUUCAAAGCAGGCUUACGUCUGAAUACAUUAGCAUGGAAUAAUAAAAUAGGACGGUGGUCCUGUUUUGUUGGUUUCUGAAUCACCGUAAUGAUUAAUAGGAUAGUUGGGGGCAUAGUAUUAAUUGACAGAGGUGAAAUUCUUGGAUUUAUUGAAGACUAACUUCUGCGAAAGCAUUUGCCAAGGAUGUUUUCAUUAAUCAAGAACGAAAGUUAGGGGAUCGAAGACGAUCAGAUACCGUCGUAGUCUUAACCAUAAACUAUGCCGACUAGGGAUCGGACGAUGUUAAAUUUUAUUGACUCGUUCGGCGCCUUACGGGAAAC
rnacentral:rRNA from 2 species